GCUGGAUGUGGUGGCGCCCACCUGUAAUCCCAGCUACUCGGAGGCUGAGGCAGGAGAAUCGCUUGAACCCAGGAGGCAGAGAUUGCAGUGAGCUGAGAUCACGCCACUGCACUCCAGCCUGGGUGACAGAGUGAGACUCCGUCUCAA
ensembl:misc_RNA Metazoa_SRP Metazoan signal recognition particle RNA